rnacentral:rRNA from 1 species
AGAAUCAACGCUGGCGGCGUGCCUAACACAUGCAAGUCGAACGAGAAAGUGGAGCAAUCCAUGAGUAAAGUGGCGACCGGGUGAGUAACACGUGACUAACCUACCUUCAAGUGGGGGAUAACCUCGGGAAACCGGGGCUAAUACCGCAUAACAUCCCUGGAGCGGAAGAACUGGGGAUCAAAGGAGCAAUUCGCUGGAAGAGGGGGUCGCGGCUGAUUAGCUAGUUGGCGGGUAAUGGCCCACAAGGCUUUGAUCGGUA